AUCCAUGACAAUUACUAAAAACUUCCCCAAAUAAAAAGGACAUGAAAAG
ensembl:misc_RNA